rnacentral:lncRNA from 1 species
UCUCUCUCUCUUUCUCUCUGUAAAUCUACCUUUCAAUAACUACAAAAAUCUUUUUUAAAAAUUUUGUAUAUGUAUGUCCUUGUUUUAAAGUUCUGUUUAGGCAAAAUAUGUUUACCAGCCAGAAAAUGCAGAUAUUAAGGGAUUUUAUUCAUAACAGGUUAGAUUUUUUCUUCUGAAAGUUUAAAACAAACACUUUAAAGUGGAUGAGUCUAUAAUUUUGAGUAAAAUUUUCAGUCAAAUGUAAUUGCUUUAUAGGUUUAACUCUGGCCAGAGUAAUUUGUGUUCUUUCUAUGUAUUACUCUAACUGUAAUAAAGCUGUUUAUGCAAAUGUGAACUUGUUAUUUUUGCAGAAUCUUUCCAGCUAUGUAGGGUUGUAACGUAAAACUCUCAUUCAAGAUCAAAAUUCCACAUAUUUGCAACCUGCAAACAUCUAAAAUUCACACUUCAACAUCUGUGUGGCUGCCAACAUCUACUGCCAUCAUCUACUGCCAUCUAUAUCAUGUUUUUCCAGAGUGGAAGGAAAAAAAAAUGAGCUGUCUCAUGAGUGUCUCCUAACACAGCAGAGCUAUCAAGUUGAUAAUAUGAAUUCAAGACUAAAUGGCUGAACACUCAUCAGACACUGUCUGUUCAUUUGCAGAGAAAUUUGUGGCUGACAUUUGAAAUUGUGAAGAUAAAUUAAAAAAAAUCAUGUGGCCACAUAAAAGUAGCAUAUACCAUUACUGCAUUUUAAAAUUCCUAAGUAUGAAGACUAUCC